rnacentral:ncRNA from 1 species
UUAGUCGAUCCUAAGAGAUGGGGAAUCUUUGUAUCAAGGGUGAACUCCGCAUGAACAUCGAAAGAUAAUUGGGUUAGUAUUCUCGAACUGGGACAUGGUGGUGGAUGACAAUGUUAGGAAAUCUAGAGAUGUCAUCGGGGGCCUGGGAAGAGUUAUCUUUUCUUUUUAAUGACUUUCCCACACUGAAAUUGGGUCAAUCGGAGAUAGGGUCCAACUUAUGGAAGAGAAACACACAUCUUGUGGUGUUUGUUGGCCCCUCAAUGACCAUUGAAAAUAUGAAGAACCGAGUAUCAUCCAUGCCCGAUCAUACUCAUAUCUGCCUUGGAUUUUCAAUGUCCACUAGGUUAGCAAUCUUG